rnacentral:rRNA from 1 species
UACGUAGGGGGCAAGCGUUGUCCGGAAUCAUUGGGCGUAAAGAGCGUGUAGGCGGCCUGGUAAGUCCGCUGUGAAAGCCCAGGGCUCAACCCUGGAAUGCCGGUGGAAACUGUCAGGCUCGAGUCCGGAAGAGGCGAGUGGAAUUCCUGGUGUAGCGGUGAAAUGCGCAGAUAUCAGGAGGAACACCAAUGGCGAAGGCAGCUCGCUGGGACGGUACUGACGCUGAGACGCGAAAGCGUGGGGAGCAAACAGG